rnacentral:rRNA from 1 species
GGGUGUCGGAUGGUCCUAAGCAUGCGAGUCAUUGUAGUAAUACAAGGCAGACGGCUCAGUAACGCGUAGUCAACCUACCCUAUGGACGGGGAUAACCUCGGGAAACUGAGAAUAAUACCCGAUAGAACAUUAUGCCUGGAAUGGUUUAUGUUUCAAAUAAUUUAUUGCCGUAGGAUGGGACUGCGGCCUAUCAGUUUGUUGGUGAGGUAAUGGCCCACCAAGACUAUUACAGGUACGGGCUCUGAGAGGAGUAGCCCGGAGAUGGGUACUGAGACACGGACCCAGGCCCUAUGGGGCGCAGCAGGCGAGAAAACUUUGCAAUGUGCGAAAGCACGACAAGGUUAAUCCGAGUGGUUUCUGCUAAAGGAACCUUUUGUCAGUCCUAGAAACACUGAUGAAUAAGGGGUGGGCAAGUUCUGGUGUCAGCCGCCGCGGUAAAACCAGCACCUCAAGUGGUCAGGAUGAUUAUUGGGCCUAAAGCAUCCGUAGCCUGCUUUGUAAGUUUUCGGUUAAAUCCAUAUGCUCAACGUAUGGGCUGCCGGGAAUACUGCAAAGCUAGGGAGUGGGAGAGGUAGACGGUACUCGGUAGGAAGGGGUAAAAUCCUUUGAUCUAUUGAUGACCACCUGUGGCGAAGGCGGUCUACCAGAACACGUCCGACGGUGAGGGAUGAAAGCUGGGGGAGCAAACCGGAUUAGACACCCGGGUAGUCCCAGCUGUAAACUAUGCAAACUCAGUGAUGCAUUGGCUUGAUGCCAAUGCAGUGCUGCAGGGAAGCCGUUAAGUUUGCCGCCUGGGAAGUACGUACGCAAGUAUGAAACUUAAAGGAAUUGGCGGGGGAGCACCACAAAGGGUGAAGCCUGCGGUUCAAUUGGAGUCAACGCCGGG